CCUACGGGAGGCAGCAGUGAGGAAUAUUGGUCAAUGGACGAGAGUCUGAACCAGCCAAGUAGCGUGAAGGAUGACUGCCCUAUGGGUUGUAAACUUCUUUUAUAUGGGAAUAAAAUGUUCCACGUGUGGGAUUUUGUAUGUACCAUAUGAAUAAGGAUCGGCUAACUCCGUGCCAGCAGCCGCGGUAAUACGGAGGAUCCGAGUGUUAUCCGGAUUUAUUGGGUUUAAAGGGAGCGUAGGUGGAUUGUUAAGUCAGUUGUGAAAGUUUGCGGCUCAACCGUAAAAUUGCAGUGGAAACUGGCAGUCUUGAGUACAGUAGAGGUGGGCGGAAUUCGUGGUGUAGCGGUGAAAUGCUUAGAUAUCACGAAGAACUCCGAUUGCGAAGGCAGUUCACUGGACUGCAACUGACACUGAGGCUCGAAAGUGUGGGUAUCAAACAGGAUUAGAUACCCUUGUAGUC
rnacentral:rRNA from 1 species